UGGGGAAUAUUGCACAAUGGGCGCAAGCCUGAUGCAGCGACGCCGCGUGCGGGAUGGAGGCCUUCGGGUUGUAAACCGCUUUUGUUCAAGGGCAAGGCACGGUUUUUGGCCGUGUUGAGUGGAUUGUUCGAAUAAGCACCGGCUAACUACGUGCCAGCAGCCGCGGUAAUACGUACGUG
rnacentral:rRNA from 1 species